GUUAUUAUGAUUAUUUACUAUGAGACUGUGUCUUUCCUCUAUGUGGAGACCUACAGGUAGGAAUCUCCAAUGGUCCCAGUUGAAUUGCUUCUUGUAGAAGACAGUUUAGAUAGCCUCAGACUUUGAAGAUAUCCUUAGACUCCAGAUAUGUCAUCCAAAGCUACUGAUCUCUGUCAACACCAUGCUGAAACUCUGGCUCCUCAUUCUACCCUGCAUUCUACCCCUUCCCAACCUUGCAAAGAUGCCUGGGGUCUCAGCCCUGCACCAG
rnacentral:lncRNA from 1 species